GGUAAAACUAAAACAUUGUAUUUUAGCAUUAGAAGACGAAGUUUCAGUACCAAAAUCCUGGAAAAAAAAGUUGGGCCUGAUAAUAAUGAUGUUCUAGCAAUUUUGGACAAUGCAUGUCAGUCCGUUAUCAUGUUGGAAACUUCAAUUGUACCAGUCACUAAUGAAAAUGAGUGUUGUAAGAUAUUGUAUUCAGAACUGUUCAGUGAGGUUUCUGAUACAAUAAUCAGCAUUUGCCAACAUUCUCAAGAGUGGCAUGAACAGAGGAAAUAUAGAGUAACAGGUUCACGAAUAUAUGAGUUAUAUACAUACUCCAAAACUGGGUGGGAUAACAAAGCGUCAAGUACGAAGGUGAUGCUAAAGAGGCUUUUAUUGCGCAAACAUCCUUACAAGUUGUGGAUUUUGGUAUGGUCGUUUCACACUCAAAUCCAUGGCUGGGUUAUUCUCCAGAUGGUGUCAUUUUUGAGGACAACAGGCCUGUUGCUCUACUGGAGGUGAAAUGUUUAUAUGAAGGUUCUACCAGGACCAUAAAUGAAGUGCUGCAAAACACGAAAUUCAUUG